AUGCAGCAGAGGAAUGUCCGAAAAAAACAAGCAACGAUGGACAACUACAUGGGGAACAAGACACUCACCCCCCAGCAAUGCAUACCAGUUACAAACUCUAUUCUAGAUUCUACAUUAUUUUUUAUGGAAUUUACCUCAUAUUUUGAUGCCAAAAAAUUAUUCUGGACUGAUAUUUUGCACUGUUUAGCUCAUUUUACACCGCUGACUGUGUUCUUGUGCAAUAAAAUAGAUUGCAGUCAACUGCACAAUUCUCUUAUGUUCUUCUUUUUCUUAACUGAAAUGUAUUCAUCACUUGUAUAGGUUAAAUAGCUAAACAAUAACAAACCGAUUAAUCAAUUAAUCGAAAAAAUAAUGGACAGAUUAAUCGAUUAUGAAAAUAAUCGUUAGUUGCAGCCCUACACAAGUCAUUUAGGACUUAGCACCAACCUGCUGUAACAUGGGCAACAGUCAGGUAGUCUAUAGCCAAUGGUUUCCAUUUCUAGAGGUAUUCAGACAAAUACCUCCAGAAAUGGGCCAAUGAACCCCUCAGGUAAGCAGAAAAGCAGGACUUUCUGUUGACCUGAACAGCUGUGCUUUACCUGUAAAACCUACCUGUCGAUGCUAGACUUAGUGUCAGCCAUCUUGUUGAGACUGGACACUCUGAACCCAUAGGCAUUUCCUCUUUGUCCCUUGUUCAUGUAGUUUCCAAAGGCUAGUAUGACCUGAAGAAGCUGACAGAGAGCUGGACUCUGGACCACCUCUUUAGAAGCGAGACUAAGAGCUGGAAGAAGGGAGAAGAAGAAAAAGUUGAGGAGUGAAGCAGAAUUCAGCAUUAAAUAUCUAUCCCUACAACAAGUAUUAGUCAGUAAUUGUAAAGUAAUCAACCUUUUCUUCCAAAAACAACAAGGAAGCGUGUUUUCUUCUCAUCCUCUGUAUUUCUAAGGGAAGCAUACAAACGGCUCUGAGUUCUGUACCAUGUUGGUGGUUUGAAUUUGUUUAGUGAUGUAACCUAUUCAGACAGAUUAAUAACUGCAUGAAUUUAUAAAGCAGGAAACAUUAUUAAAGGGACAUUGAAAUGUUGAGUUACACAAGUGGAAAAUGCUAUUUUUAACCAGCCCAGCCAUUCUUCUGACCCAGCUGUACUCUUCUUGCUUUAGCUUAGCAUCAACACAACGACUGAAUGGAUCCAACUAGCAUUGGGAGUAAAAAAGUCAAUAAAAUCACUCAGUAGUGAUCCCAGUUCUGCUUGGUGACCUAAAUAAUUACGCUGACUGACAGUGAAAAUAAUUAGUAACAUAAAGGAAUCAAAGGCACCAUUUUAGAUUCGGGACUACUUUAUGACAAAGGUGUGUGUGUGUGUGUGUGUGUGUGUGUGUGUGUGUGAAAUCCUGAGUCCUGCAGCUGGCGGUUUGCUAGCAACUUUUGCAUCUGUGUUUGUGGAAGCAGGUGUCUUGGGGGCCUGAUGUUGAACUGAAAAACGACCUCAGUAACUAUUCUGGAUGAUAGUACAGUCCUAUCUGCAUUAAUAGCUCAUUAACACAAAUUAAAUGCUGUUCGACUAUUAACAUAUGAUGAACAUGUGUUUCCAAACUUUCUGGACAUCUCUUGUGAUUUAGUUUCAACAAAUUUCUUCACAUGUUCAGCUGACUGUCCCAUUCAGUAAUAAAAUGCAAUUGCGAAGGCUCUCUCUCUCUCUCUCACAGGAAAUAAUGGGCAGGACUCUCAGAGAGAGAGAGAGAGAGAGAGAGAGAGAGAGAGAGAGAGAGAGAGAGAGAAAGAAAGUGAACGAGAGAGAGUGAGCGAGAGAGAGAGAGUGAGCGAGGAAGAGCGAGAGAGAGCGAGAGAGAGUGAGAGAGAGAGAGAGAGAGAGAGACAGAGGGAGAGAGCGAGAGAGGGAGAGAGUGAGCGAGAGAGAGCGAGAGAGGGAGAGAGAGAGCGAGAGAAAGUGAGCGAGAGAGAGUGAGCGAGGAAGAGCGAGAGAGAGUGAGAGAGAGCGAGAGAGAGAGUGAGGGAGAUAGUGAGCGAGAGAGAGCAAGAGAGAGAGUGAGCGAGAGAGAGAGGGGGGGAGAGAGAGAGAGAGUGAGCGAGAGAGAGAGAGAGAGAGAGAAAGGGAGAGAGCGAGAGAGAGAGAGAGAGAGAGACAGAGAGGGGGGGGAGAGAGAGAGAGACAGAGAGGGGGGAGAGAGAGAGAGAGACAG
ensembl:lncRNA